AGUGAACGCUGGCGGUAGGCCUAACACAUGCAAGUCGAACGGCAGCACAGUAAGAGCUUGCUCUUACGGGUGGCGAGUGGCGGACGGGUGAGGAAUACAUCGGAAUCUACUUUUUCGUGGGGGAUAACGUAGGGAAACUUACGCUAAUACCGCAUACGACCUACGGGUGAAAGCAGGGGAUCUUCGGACCUUGCGCGAUUGAAUGAGCCGAUGUCGGAUUAGCUAGUUGGCGGGGUAAAGGCCCACCAAGGCGACGAUCCGUAGCUGGUCUGAGGGGAUGAUCAGCCACACUGGAACUGAGACACGGUCCAGACUCCUACGGGAGGCAGCAGUGGGGAAUAUUGGACAAUGGGCGCAAGCCUGAUCCAGACAUACCGCGUGGGUGAAGAAGGCCUUCGGGUUGUAAAGCCCUUUUGUUGGGAAAGAAAAGCAGCAGGUUAAUACCCCGCUGUUCUGACGGUACCCAAAGAAUAAGCACCGGCUAACUUCGUG
rnacentral:rRNA from 1 species